UUCGCAAUGCCCGAAAGGGUGACGAAGCGACGCCGCGUGGGUGAGGAAGGCCCUCGGGUUGUAAAGCCCUGUCAGGAGUUAAGAAAUAUAGGUACGCUAAUAUCGUAUCUAUUUGACAAAGGCUCCAAAGGAAGCCACGGCUAACUCUGUGCCAGCAGCCGCGGUAAUACAGAGGUGGCAAGCGUUGUUCGGAAUUAUUGGGCGUAAAGAGCACGUAGGUGGAUUUGUAAGUCAGAUGUGAAAGCCUUCUGUUCAACGGAAGAAUUGCAUCUGAAACUACAAACCUUGAGUAUAGGAGGGGAGAAUGGAACUUCUGGUGGAGCGGUGAAAUGCGUAGAUAUCAGAAGGAACGCCGGCGGCGAAAGCGAUUCUCUGGCCUAUUACUGACACUCAGUGUGCGAAAGCUAGGGGAGCAAACGGGAUUAGAUACCCCGGUAGUCCUAGCCGUAAACGAUGGGCACUAAGUAGAGGGGUUUU
rnacentral:rRNA from 1 species